AACCUCAAGAAUGGAGAAAAAUGAUUCAUUCUUUCAUCGCAUAAUAGUAAUUGAUGUAAUUGGAUUGGAAAUCCAAAUCCUUAUGAGAUGUUUGCUAUAUGUAUAUAUAAGUAGACCAUUUUGUCCAGCCUACCUGGCCCCCCUCUUAAGACAAUUAAGUACGCUAUAAAAUGAUACUUGUGCACUAUGAAUAAGUGCACGCUACUGGAGGAAUCUGUAAUUGCUUUCUAUUGUCUCUUGCACCCUCACAUAUUCUCACACAUAGCCAGUUCUUCUAUCUGAAAACCUUUACUUAUACGCUCAUAAUGGUGACUACUGACUAGUGAGAGCUUUAAGUCAAAUUGAGGCCCUUUUAUAGUCAGUACAGUUUCUUUCCCUUUAUAUUGACUUUUCUGCUAUGUCGGGCAAGUGAAGUUACUGGAAUUUCUUUCCUUUGGUUUGUUCAUGAUGAUAAUGCAAUAAAUAUUGUCCUGUAUAUUUUGUCUACUUUUCAAAUGGUUGAAAAAUCUGAAAUGCAUUAGCUUGAAUGUUCAAAAUACUGCAGUGUAAGGUUUUUGUGCACUUCUCUAACCAGUAGAUAUUCUUCUCAUGCAUCACAGUGGUUAAGUCUCAUUUUUCAGUUGAAUGCUUUAGAAUCUUGCAUCACAUUUGUGAGGGGCUGAGGGUUAUAGACAUGUGUUAUCUAGUGAGACAGUUGCAAAUGAAUUUUGAAUUUGGCUGUGGUGCUUUUCAUAAGGGAUUGCUUAAAACCAAGAUGCAGAUAUUAAAUUUCAAUAAACAGGUCAUCAAAGAUUUUUUUUUUCACUCUGCUAUAGGCUAAGUUCUAAUUAAUUGUAAGCGGGUAUUUCAUUGGUUCAGAGAAUUUGGUUAGGACAUCUAGAUGAUGUGCAAGCCAGCAUUUAUCUAGAAGGAUUGAUACAUAACUGUCGUAUGGUACUCUUGGAAAUCAAACAUGUUACAAUAACCAAUGUUUCAUUUUACAUGCAUUACUAAUUACUAUGCAUAUUAACUUUCUGAUAGCUGACAUGUCCUACACAUUACCUUUUAGACAAUCAAUUUAGUGACAUAAUCUAAAGAUUAUUUUGCUUAUGAAAGCUGUAUGCUAUUCAGAAUGACAUUCAAACUUAGUUGUACAUUAUAGGCACAGUUUUA
rnacentral:misc_RNA from 1 species